AAGGAUUCCACCCUAGAGCCUAAGGAGGGAGCGUGGCCUUGCAGGCCCCUUGAUUUUGGACUUCUAGCCUCCAGAACUGUGAGAGAAUAAGUUUCUGUUGUUUUAAGCCAUCCACGUUUGUGAUACCUUUUUAUGGCAGCCACAGGAA
rnacentral:miRNA from 1 species